UCCAUUAUUGUGCUUUCUCUUAACUCUCCCUUACUAAUUUCGCGGCUCAUGCUUAUGAUUUAUUCCCAUUGCUUUCCCCUUUUGGCUUGGUCCUUCACUGCUCUGUUGUGUUUUAUUUUUGCCGUGCCUUGUUUUUGCUAUAAAACCCAUAAACUUCACUCGUAUCUUGGUGAUUUUGGUGCUUGCUGUGAGUGCGUGUUCUACUACUGCUAGUUGCCUCUCGGUUUCCCUUGAAUAUAUUUUUAUGGUCAAGCUGGAGAACAAGAAUAUGAAGUAUUGGAACAGUCUGAUGAUCAUAGAUGAAUGAGUGCUAUGGGUACUAGUAUUUUGGAG